ensembl:lncRNA
CAGACUUUUGACCGCUUUGCCUUGGACAUUUAAUCUGUAGCUCUGCUCUCAAAGAACAUACGUACCUGGACCCGCCUACUAUCCUCGGAAACGUAAAAUGAUUGGCUAGAAUCCAAAGUGUAUCACAGCUCAGGGAAAAAAGCACCGAAAUAUGCGCUGCUUUUCGGUCUGGUUACUACCGUUUAUGUCAGAACCGGUGCCAUGAUGGCACCGGAUACCGGUACCCAUCCCUAAUUAUUACUUUACUUGUUACUUGAAAAAAGUAAUCAGGUAAGCGUUACUGCCUGUCUCUGUUAACCAUUAUAUGAUGUUCACAUCUGUGGGACCCUUUUCAAUAAUACCAAAAGAAAAAUGUGAUUUAUUAUGAUUUCAACUUCAGACUCCUUCCCUUCAGCUCAAACAAAGGAUCACAUGAGGUUCCACAGCCUGGAGUUGCCCACCCCUGGCCUAGACGGAUAUUGCAAAAGAGGUCAAAGGAAGACUGAGAGAAUAUAAACACAGAGGAUAAUAAGGGAACAGGACAGAGGUGGUGUCAAAGAAUAAUGUUUAAAUGUUUUUAUGCUUUGCUUCAAUACUGAUAAUGUUCAUAUUUUCACUGUGCAGCUCAGCUUGAUAAACGUGAAACUGCAAGCCGCGUGUGCCAUGUGAUGAGGCCACAAGAUCAGCACAAAAAUACACAUCUUUAUUAUUCUUAGAAACUGACUUGCUGCACACACACAUACACACGAACAGGAAAAACAGGAACUGCCUCCUAUGCUUUAAAUAAAGGAAACGCCUGCAACUGAGUGUGAGUCGCUCUGUUGAGCUCUCACCCGUGCACGUUAAAAAUCUCUCCAAGUGUCUAAGUUAGUUAGCUUUCUUGUUAUAUGUAAAAAUUGUAUUGUAUUUAUUUAUUUAAAUUUUACUUUUUAAUUAUUUUACUUGCAUUUUUAAUCACUCUUAUAUUUAAAUGUUCAUUUGCUAUUUUAUCUAGGGAUUGAGAGUAACGUAGUUUCUAUUCUCUGUAUGUCCUGUACAUGUGGCAGAAUUGACAAUAAA